rnacentral:lncRNA from 10 species
CUUCCAGGCCAAAUGGGCUUGCACGGGAAGCCUGCUCCAGUUCAUGGGGAGGGGAUGGUCUAUGGGAACCAGAGAAGCCCGCCCUGCACCCAGCGGCCGCUUCCUGUAAUGCGCUCUGCCCCCAGGGAAUUCCCACGGAGCUGCCCAGGAGGAGCCGGGCCAGCGGGCAGCUGGGCCUUCCUGCCAGGCCAAUGCCAGGGUGACUGCAGAAAGCAGGGAGACGGGGGCCGGCGGCACCCCCAGGAGACGGGUGGCACAUGGCCCCACCUGCCUUAGCUUUCCCCCGGUGCCUGUGCCAUGGGACUGAUUAGGUAUUGAUGGAGCGUCUGUCAAGCCUCCCGACCCCCGCAGAAGAUCAACUCCAUGAGAGCCGGGCCCGUCUGUUCUGCUCACUGCUGUCUUCUCUGCCUGGAGCAUCACUGGGCACAGUCAGACGUGUUGGAGCCAAGUCACAGGGUUGCUGGAUGCUCAGUGAGUGGAUUUGGCGCUUGGGUCCUGGUCCACACCCUGACAGAGCUUGGGUGUCAGGGCCCACCUACACCUUUUCACUAUAUUAACUUCACCAUUAACACCAUAUAUAUAUAUAUAUAUAUAUGGAGAGAGAGAGAAAGAGAGAGAGAGAGAGAGAGAGAGAGAGAGAGAGAGAUGGAGUCUCACUCCGUCACCCAGGCUGGAGUGCAGUGGCAUGAUCUCGGUUCACUGCAACCUCCACCUCCCAGGUUCAAGUGAUUCUCCUGCCUCCACCUCCUGAGUAGCUGGGACUACAGGCAUGCACCACCACACCCGGCUAAUUUUUGUAUUUUUAGUAGAGAUAGGGUUUCACCAUGUUGGCCAGGAUGGUCUCGAACUUUUGACUUCAGGUGAUUCUCCCACCUUGGCCUCCCAAAGUGCUAGGAUUACAGGCGUGAGCCACCGUACCCAGCCAACACAAAAUAUUUUUCAUGUUUUGAGAUCUCACCGUGCUUCGUGACAGCCGAGUUUGUAGCCACCUCCCAAAUGCCCCCUGACUUCUCCAAAGCCGUCAUCUCUCCAAACAGUAUUUGGCUGGUACUAGGUCAGUUUCACUCCCCGCCCCUCCCCCACCCCACCCCUUUAUACAUAGCUCUGCGAUCCACACAUUAGCAGAUUGUAUAGUUGUUAUUUUCUGUGGAAUUAUUUUCUUACGGCUUCUUAGGCAUGGGAUUAUGAGGUCAAACAGUGUGGCACGGGUCUCCUUGGGCACCUGCGUGUCCUGUUCAAGGGCUGUAAUG